AAUGAACGUUGGCGGCGUGGAUUAGGCAUGCAAGUCGAGCGAGAACCGUAGCAAUACGGGGACAGCGGCGAAAGGGACAGUAAUGUGUAGGUACCUACCCCCGGGUUCGGGAUAGCUGCGGGAAACUGCAGGUAAUACCGAAUAAUGUCUUCGGACCAAAGGUGUGAUUCCACAUGGGGAGGCGCCUGCAUCCUAUUAGCUUGUUGGUGGGGUAACGGCUUACCAAGGCGACGAGGGGUAGCGGGUGUGAGAGCAUGACCCGCGUCAUUGGGACUGAGACACUGCCCAGACACCUACGGGUGGCUGCAGUCGAGGAUCUUCGGCAAUGGGCGCAAGCCUGACCGAGCGACGCCGCGUGCGGGAUGAAGGCCUUCGGGUUGUAAACCGCUGUCGUAGAGGAGGAAAUGCAGGAGGGUUCUCCCUUCUGUUUGACCUAUUCUAGGAGGAAGUACGGGCUAAGUUCGUGCCAGCCGCCGCAGUAA
rnacentral:rRNA from 1 species